rnacentral:tRNA from 1 species
AGAUCGUUCUGGUGUAGUGGAACAGACUACACGUCUGACUGUAAACGAGAUGGUUGUGGGUUCGAUUCCCACUCUAUUUA